GCUCAAUUACCUGGCUGCCCUUUGAGUCUUCAGAUCUUCGUGAGGCGCUCCUAUGCAUCAGUUUUGAAGAUGAAUCUGGAAGAGGAAGGCUGGAGUCAGGAUGUCAUUCCUUGGCUACAGAUGCUGCUGAGAGGUCAGGUUGCAAGGCUGGACCUUCUGGUGGUGAAUUUGACAUCAAGGGGGAAGAGAGUCAACAGAAGAGGCAUGUGGAGAUACUGGCUUUGUGAUCCCUGUGACUGAGUCCCUGCAUCGGGUCACAUCUAAGGCUACAUCUUCUCCAGGCUUUUCUGUCACAUGAGCCAA